GACGUAGGGCGCGAGCGUUGUCCGGAUUUAUUGGGCGUAAAGAGCUCGUAGGCGGCUUGUCGCGUCGACCGUGAAAACUUGGGGCUCAACCCCAAGCCUGCGGUCGAUACGGGCAGGCUAGAGUUCGGUAGGGGAGACUGGAAUUCCUGGUGUAGCGGUGAAAUGCGCAGAUAUCGAGAGGAACACCUGCGGCGAAGGCGGGUUGCUGGGCUGACACUGACGCUGAGGCGCGAAAGCUAGGGGAGCAAACGGG
rnacentral:rRNA from 1 species